GUCUGAGUUAAUUGGUAGGUGUCGUUAAUGAUUAUGGCCCAUCCUACAUUGUAGUGAAGAUGUGUGGCUUAUUCUUGGUAACAAAUUGACUCUGGCUGGGACUUAAAGUAUUAUAGGACCUUCUUUCUCGAUAUUUUUGGGCGACGGGCCGUCUUUCACUAUCAUUGGGGACUUGUUGUACUCAAUCCUGGCCUGUCCGAGGCUUACCUUAUCCAUUACAACUGUAGUUACCUAGUGAGAUGGUUUUUGAUGUACACUAAUGAAGUCUUACUCCUUCUCUAGGUGAUGGAUCAUCUUUUACCAAGAUAGGACAGCUUAUAUUCAUUAUACCUUUUUAAUUGUACAACAUUACUGUAUAUACUGAGAUAUUUAACUGUUGUUUAAUUACUGUGUAGUGUGUAGACUGUUUUACCUGUAUUUUAGUGUAGUAUCAAGUUUAUUAUAACAAUAACAGUGACUAUUUAGCUAACUAUUAGGUGUGAUGAUGGCAGUAGUGUCGUUAUUACUGAAAA